rnacentral:rRNA from 1 species
CAGUAGCCGCGGGAAUACGUAGGUGGCAAGCGUUGUCCGGAAUUAUUGGGCGUAAAGGGCUCGCAGGCGGUUUCUUAAGUCUGAUGUGAAAGCCCCCGGCUCAACCGGGGAGGGUCAUUGGAAACUGGGAAACUUGAGUGCAGAAGAGGAGAGUGGAAUUCCACGUGUAGCGGUGAAAUGCGUAGAGAUGUGGAGGAACACCAGUGGCGAAGGCGACUCUCUGGUCUGUAACUGACGAUGAGGAGCGAAAGCGUGGGGAGCGAACAGGAUUAGAUACCCCCGUAGUCCCUGUCUCUUAUAC